UGCAGUCGAGGGGUAGAAGUCUUCGGACUUUGAGACCGGCGCACGGGUGCGUAACGCGUAUGCAAUCUACCUUUUACAGAGGGAUAGCCCAGAGAAAUUUGGAUUAAUACCUCAUAGUAUAAUGACCUGGCAUCAGGAUGUUAUUAAAGUCACAACGGUAAAAGAUGAGCAUGCGUCCCAUUAGCUAGUUGGUAAGGUAACGGCUUACCAAGGCUACGAUGGGUAGGGGUCCUGAGAGGGAGAUCCCCCACACUGGUACUGAGACACGGACCAGACUCCUACGGGAGGCAGCAGUGAGGAAUAUUGGACAAUGGGCGCAAGCCUGAUCCAGCCAUGCCGCGUGCAGGAUGACGGUCCUAUGGAUUGUAAACUGCUUUUAUACGAGAAGAAACACUCCAACGUGUUGGAGCUUGACGGUAUCGUAAGAAUAAGGAUCGGCUAACUCCGUGCCAGCAGCCGCGGUAAUACGGAGGAUCCAAGCGUUAUCCGGAAUCAUUGGGUUUAAAGGGUCCGUAGGCGGUUUGGUAAGUCAGUGGUGAAAGCCCAUCGCUCAACGGUGGAACGGCCAUUGAUACUGCCAGACUUGAAUUAUUAGGAAGUAACUAGAAUAUGUAGUGUAGCGGUGAAAUGCUUAGAGAUUACAUGGAAUACCAAUUGCGAAGGCAGGUUACUACUAAUGGAUUGACGCUGAUGGACGAAAGCGUGGGUAGCGAACAGGAUUAGAUACCCUGGUAGUCCACGCCGUAAACGAUGGAUACUAGCUGUUGGAAGCAAUUUCAGUGGCUAAGCGAAAGUGAUAAGUAUCCCACCUGGGGAGUACGUUCGCAAGAAUGAAACUCAAAGGAAUUGACGGGGGCCCGCACAAGCGGUGGAGCAUGUGGUUUAAUUCGAUGAUACGCGAGGAACCUUACCAAGGCUUAAAUGUAGAUUGACCGUUUUGGAAACAGAA
rnacentral:rRNA from 1 species